rnacentral:rRNA from 1 species
UACGUAGGUGGCAAGCGUUGUCCGGAUUUACUGGGUGUAAAGGGCGUGUAGGCGGAGCUGCAAGUCAGAUGUGAAAUCCCGGGGCUCAACCCCGGAACUGCAUUUGAAACUGUAGCCCUUGAGUAUCGGAGAGGCAGGCGGAAUUCCUAGUGUAGCGGUGAAAUGCGUAGAUAUUAGGAGGAACACCAGUGGCGAAGGCGGCCUGCUGGACGACAACUGACGCUGAGGCACGAAAGUGCGGGGAUCGAACAGG